CUUAAAAACACAACAAUACAAAAUGUUUCAGGAUUGAAAUAAUUAUGUAAACGUCACUUUCAAAGAUAAUUCGGUCAUUGCUUUUGGAUUAUGUUUUAUUUGAGACUAGCUGACCCGGUGAACUUUGUUCCGCCUUAGAGGCAAUAAAUGAGCAGACUUUUGAUUUUAUCAAGCAGGAUUCGAACACCAGCGCAGGGGUAUCGCUCGGCGUGAUCAUACCAGGCCUCUUAUCCUUUAGGCCACGACGACUUCACUUAACAAUUUCGGUAUUGAGAAUUCGAUUUUUUCACGCUAAAGACAAUUAUUAAAUAAUAACUGUAUUCGCUCAGGACGUCACCUCCUUUGGUAUGUGUUUUGCUGCACUCAAUCCAAGAUCUUCCGGUUUCAAGAGGGAUAUCGUCGCUAUACAACUCACGUCUGAAGCAUUAUUUCCGAUUAAGAAACGCUGGUUGGAUGUGGUAAAGGCGGUUGUGGAGGAGAAUAACCUCACCCAGAAGGAUGCCGAAGACCGGGCAAAGUGGAGGUGUUUAAGUAAGAAAGUGGACUCUAGCAUCAGACCAGAAAAACGCUAGUAAAAAGAAGAAAAAGAAGACAUUAUUUCCGACAAUUCGAAUACUUUAGAUUUUUCGUGGUAUAAAGUAUUUUUAAUUAGAUUAUCGGUGCUGUCUGGACAAAUCGAACUUUGAACGUCUGGUGACAAUGGAACGUACACGGGAAAAAUACCGGUCGGAUGUAUACAUCGCCACUGGAAUAAAACCAGUUUCAAUGAUAAAAAUAGGGCAGUGCCAAGUGUGAAUCAUUAUUAUAAUGAUAAUUUUUAUUCGUAAUGUCGCAUUUAUUAAUACAAAUUUGUACGUGCUUGAA